GACAGAGGGUGCAAACGUUGUUCGGAAUUACUGGGCGUAAAGCGCGUGUAGGCGGCUAUGCAAGUCGGGUGUGAAAGCCCUGGGCUUAACCUAGGAAGUGCACUCGAAACUGCAUAGCUCGAGUCCCGGAGAGGAUGGUGGAAUUCUCGGUGUAGAGGUGAAAUUCGUAGAUAUCGAGAGGAACACCGGUGGCGAAGGCGGCCAUCUGGACGGGUACUGACGCUGAGACGCGAAAGCGUGGGUAGCAAACAGG
rnacentral:rRNA from 1 species